rnacentral:rRNA from 1 species
CGGACGAACGCUGGCGGCGUGCUUAACACAUGCAAGUGGAGCGACGAACCAGGGCUUGCCCUGGGGCAGAGCCGCGAACGGGUGAGUAACACGUGGGUAACCUGCCCAGAUGACCGGGACAACCCGAGGAAACUCGGGCUAAUACCGGAUGUGCUGUCCUCACAUCAGUGAGGUUAGGAAAGGUGCUUCGGCUUCCGCAUCUGGAUGGGCCCGCGGCCCAUUAGCUUGGUUGGUGAGGUAACGGCUCACCAAGGCUUCGAUGGUAGCUGUCUGAGAGACGAUCAGCCACACGUGGGACUGAGACACGGCCAGACUCCGACGGGAGGCAGCGAGGUGGGGAAUUCGUU